rnacentral:lncRNA from 1 species
GGACAAUCCUGGUAAAACCAAGGUCAGGGGGACAACUAAUCCAUCCUCAAUAUAACAUCCAAGUCCACAAUCUCUAAGAGCAAUAAGUUGACACGGGUCUCAAGACCCUCAAACACCACCACACAAGAACGAUACACUCGGUCGACCACUAUGGAAAUCAUCAACUGUCGCGGACAUAUAUACAGGAACACCCAAAGCCUCUCUAGGCAUGAUCAAAUCGGCUGCGAAAUAGAACGACAAUCGACCACUAUGGAAAUCACCAGCUGGCGCGGACACACAUACAGGAACACCCAAAGCCUCUCUAGGCAUGAUCAAUUGGGGUGCGAAAUAGAACGACAGAUAAUUUUGGACAAUGAUUUUUUCAAUGUUAAUAUUAAGUCGAACAAAUCAAAUU